CUUUACCUACGGGGGGCAGCAGUGAGGAAUAUUGGUCAAUGGGCUUACGCCUGAACCAGCCAAGUCGCGUGAGGGAAGACUGCCCUAUGGGUUGUAAACCUCUUUUGUCAGGGAGCAACGCCGGCUACGUGUAGCCGGACUGAGAGUACCUGAAGAAAAAGCAUCGGCUAACUCCGUGCCAGCAGCCGCGGUAAUACGGAGGAUGCGAGCGUUAUCCGGAUUUAUUGGGUUUAAAGGGUGCGUAGGCGGAAUGCCAAGUCAGCGGUAAAAUCGUGGGGCCCAACCCCAUCCCGCCGUUGAAACUG
rnacentral:rRNA from 1 species